rnacentral:tRNA from 1 species
AAGAAUUUAAGUUAAAAAAACUUUUAACCUUCAAAGUUAACAAUAGAAUUUAUUCCUAAUUCUU